rnacentral:rRNA from 2 species
AUGAACGCUGGCGGCGCGCCUAACACAUGCAAGUCGAACGAUUAAAGCACCUUCGGGUGUGUAUAAAGUGGCGAACGGCUGAGUAACACGUGGGCAACCUGCCCCUCUCAUUGGGAUAGCCACGGGAAACCGUGGAUAAUACCGAAUACUUCGGGACUUCCGCAUGGAAGACUCGAGAAAGCUCCGGCGGAGAGGGAUGGGCCCGCGGCCUGUUAGCUUGUUGGUGGGGUAACGGCCUACCAAGGCAAUGAUGGGUAGCUGGGUUGAGAGACCGACCAGCCAGAUUGGGACUGAGACACGGCCCAGACUCCUACGGGAGGCAGCAGUGGGGAAUCUUGCACAAUGGGCGAAAGCCUGAUGCAGCGACGCCGCGUGCGGGAUGAAGGCCUUCGGGUUGUAAACCGCUUUCAGCAGGGACGAGGCGAAAGUGACGGUACCUGCAGAAGAAGCCCGGCUAAUA